rnacentral:snoRNA from 1 species
AUUCUGUAAUGAGGGCACUUUCGUAAUAAUUCUCUCUACCUUUCCCAUGCCUCAUACAAGGACUUAUCAUCUAUUUGUUGGAAGGUAGUGAUCUCAUUUCUCAACUU